GUACGUUGACCGUAACGAUACCAACUAGCGUUCCGCCGCUGGCAAACACGCCUUGGCGGGCAGCUUCCCGGAAACGAAAGUUUUUCGGUUCCGGGGGAAGUAUGGUUGCAAAGCUGAAACUUAAAGGAAUUGACGGAAGGGCACCACCAGGAGUGGAGCCUGCGGCUUAAUUUGACUCAACACGGGAAAACUCACCCGGCCCGGACACUGUAAGGAUUGACAGACUGAGAGCUCUUUCUUAAUUCAGUGGGUGGUGGUGCAUGGCCGUUCUUAGUUGGUGGAGCGAUUUGUCUGGUUAAUUCCGAUAACGAACGAGACUCUGGCCUAUUAAAUAGACGAGAUAUUCUAAAGUAUCUCGCGCUUCUUAGAGGGACAAGCGGCGUCUAGUCGCAUGAAAAAGAGCAAUAACAGGUCUGUGAUGCCCUUAGAUGUCCGGGGCUGCACGCGCGCUACACUGAAAGAAUCAGUGGGCGUUAUACCUAGUUCGGAAGAACCGGGUAACCCAAGUAAUUUCUUUCGUGCUUGGGAUAGGGAAUUGCAAUUAUUUCCCUUAAACGAGGAAUUCCCAGUAAACGCGGGUCAUAAGCUCGUGUUGAUUACGUCCCUGCCCUUUGUACACACCGCCCGUCGCUACUACCGAUUGGAUGACUUAGUGAGGUCUUAGGACCGAGGUAGAGGUGCUUUUACGAGUGCUUUUGCUUUGGAAAUUUGAUCGAACUACGUUAUCUAGAGGAAGUAAAAGUCGUAACAAAGGUUUCCGUAGGUGAACCUGCGGAAGGAUC
rnacentral:rRNA from 1 species